GCCGCCGUAGCACAAAGGUAGUGCAUUGCCUUCCUAACGCACAGUUGCAAGGCAAAGGUUGUGGGUUCGAGCCCCAUCGGCGGUU